CAACGGCGAGAGAAGCUCGGCUGGGAUUGCGAUACGGGGUGAGACAGUCACAUGGGCUCCGGGAGAGAGGGGGUCUGAACGCCCGAGUUGGAGUGAAUUCUUGGAGGUGGAAAGGAAUCAGGCUUCCCCCAUCAGACCAGGAGCUUCCUGAAGGCUUGAAAUACAUCUCUUCCCCUCUUCUGUAUCCUCUUUAUGGUGCCCAGGAAAGGGUUCUUUUUGCAAGUGGGGAAGGGAGAAGAAAUACUUUCCUCUUGAUAAAAUCAAUGUUCAGAGGUGGUCUGGGUUGCUCAGAGUUAGAAGAGGACCUGGAUGCCAGAAGAUUCCUCCCAAGAAUUUCCUGAGACCUGGAGAAAAUUCUCAUUCCUAGAAUGACUCAAGAGGCAGAGGAAUUAUCCUGAGAUCACCUGGAGACCUGCAGGCAACAGGAGAAGGGAAAAGAAGAUUAAUCUGAUAAGACCAUGUCUACUCAAGUAAAGAGACCUGGCAUGUACAUAGCUAUCUUGGUUAGUUUUGGGGUUUUUUUUUUGUUUUUGUUAGGCAGUGGGGUUAAGUGACCUGCGCAGGGUCACACAGCAAGUGUUAUGUGUCUGAGGCCGGAUUUGAACCCAGGUCCUCCUGACUCCAGGGCCGGUGCUCCAUCCACUGCACCACUUAGCUGCCCCUGUCUUGGUUAGUUUUAAAAAACACCCUUGGAAUCUCCUUGCUUUCCCAGGAGGCAGAUUCACCCAUUUUCUUUAGGGUAAGCAUCAUAAAGGUUAUACUUUGGUAGGGUGAAAGGCCUUGCGUCUUGAAAGGAAAUCUGCCCUUUUAACAAACUUAGUAAGGCCUAAGCAGAGACAGGAGGGAGAUAAGGUAGGUGGGACCUCAGAAGAGUCAGGGAAGACCUGUGCAAGAAGGGAGUUUAGAAGCUGAGUUAGGGAUGUCUAAUGAGAUUUUAGGACUAGCAAUUCUUUUCUUUCUCUAGCCUAGGAAGAGGUGGUAGGGUAGAUAUUACAGCUUGGGAAAGAGACUGAAACAAAUGUGAAUGGAGAAAGUCCUUGGGGAAGGUGACUUUGAUGGAUGAAACCUGGGAUCAAAUAACUUCUUUGCCAGUGAGCACCCCAGAAUGAGCAGACAAUAUUUUCUUCAGUCCCUGGGUCCCUUCUCAUAUACAUAGGGGCUUAUGGGUAAUGAUAUUGAUGUCUUUGGACCAAGCAGGAUGAAUGAAUAUCCUAGAAGUGAAAUGAAACAGCAAUAAUCCACCAGGGUUUGCUUCUGCUUCCAGAUAAAUCCAGCUGGACUGGGGCCUUUGUAGAGAGAAGUCACUUCAUCUUGUAUAUAUAUAUAUGUGUGUUCUGGAAUAUUGUCUACAGAUGACAGAAUACUUUUUUCUGUAUACAAGGGUUCGUAAGUGCUCAUUUGAAAUAGGCAAGCCUUGGCCAUCAUUCCAUCUACCCUAGGUAUUUGUGUUCUUGGGAGGGAGAACCUUCGAAUUUCCCUGUCUUUAUUUCUUUGUGCAUAUAUUAAUAGGUAGUAUGGAGUGAAAAGAGCAUCAAACAGCAUCAGAUGAAACUUGCAUUCAAAUCCUGCCUCUGACACAUACUCUGACAGAUACCCCCAAAAAGUACACAUGAUACAUUUUAACCUGAACUUGAACUUGAACUUGAAAGUGCUAAAUAAAUUAAUGUUCUGAUAACA
ensembl:lncRNA